CCCAGGCAGUGUAGUUCUCUCCUUGUAAUACAAUGGAUGUCCCUGUACUGUUGGGGUCCGUGACCGUUUCUCCAAAUCGCCCGCUUCUCCUGGAGAGCAGAGGGUCACUAGCAGGAGUUCCAGACAGAUGGGCAACAUCUGCCUGCUCCUGUAUUGAACGCAGCUCCGGGGGAAAGACAGACAAGAGAUGAAGGCUAUGAUGAUGGGAUCAUAGCCUGAGAUAGUUGGGCUGGUUGCUCAUUGGGCUGGCUGGUUUGGGAGGAGUGAGAAGAUUGACAUCACCUGGACUUUCAGGGGUGAAGAAGGAAGAUUCCAAGCUACAGCAUCUUGUUUUGAGUGGGCAGCUGUCCCUGUGUUCCUAGGGUCAAUGAAGAAGCAGUGGUCUGUGGUGGAGGAACAGGAAAUGGAGAAUUCUUUUCAGUUCCAUCUCUGCAUUCUCCAAAGGCACUCAAUGAGCUCCUGCCCAUAUGAGCUUUGUAACCCAAGAAUAUCCCCAUCUGGCCUCCAAGUCUUUCUCC